rnacentral:rRNA from 1 species
CCUACGGGUGGCAGCAGUGAGGAAUAUUGGUCAAUGGACGAGAGUCUGAACCAGCCAAGUAGCGUGAAGGAUGACUGCUCUAUGGGUUGUAAACUUCUUUUAUAUGGGAAUAAAACGUUCCACGUGUGGGAUUUUGUAUGUACCAUAUGAAUAAGGAUCGGCUAACUCCGUGCCAGCAGCCGCGGUAAUACGGAGGAUCCGAGCGUUAUCCGGAUUUAUUGGGUUUAAAGGGUGCGUAGGUGGAUUGUUAAGUAAGUUGUGAAAGUUUGCGGCUAAACCGUAAGAUUGCAGUUGAAACUGGCAGUCUUGAGUACAGUAGAGGCGGGCGGAAUGCGUGGUGUAGCGGUGAAAUGCUUAGAUAUCACGAAGAACUCCGAUUGCGAAGGCAGUUCACUGGACUGCAACUGACACUGAGGCUCGAAAGUGUGGGUAUCAAACAGGAUUAGAUACCCCAGUAGUC